AGUAGCUGGGACUAUAGGCGCCUGCCACCACACUUGGCUAAUUUUUGUAUUUUUAGUAGAGACAGAAUUCCGCCAUGUUGUCAAGGUUGGUCUCAAACAUCGGGGCUCAAGUGAUCCGCCUGCCUUAGCCUCCCAAAGUGCUGGGGUUUACAGGCGUG